rnacentral:tRNA from 1 species
ACUCAUAAAAAUUUAUGUUUGAUUUGAAAUCAAAUUUAUUGUUUUUAAUAACAAUAUGAGUU